CUGUAACAUCUCUUCCAGGAGGAUCUCCUCCAUGAUCUUCCCAGGGACAUAACCUGACAACCAUGGCUGCCAUUGGCUGGCAAGAGAUGACAAACAGGAAGUUUCAGCUAUGCGAACACAACACAUUAACAGAGUAGAAUGACAGACUGACAAUGUAAUCUCUAAAUGUCUAACCAUUGUGAUACAGUGAUUAAAACACCCCAAAAGUUGAA